UCACGGCUUCCUCACGGCUUCCUCACGGCUUCCUCACGGCUUCCCUGGUGCCCUCCCCUCCCCGGCCCGGCAGCUCUUGCCCGAGCCGCACGGUCCCGCCGAGAAGCAGCUCUUGGUGCAGCCUUUGAAUCGCCCUCAUGAAGCGAAAGCCGCGGCGCAGGCCAGCCCGCGAGCAGCACCGCAGGCAGGGAUCGCUGCUUCCCCUCCUGGAGCUGCGGGACACGCUGGGCUGCAGCGUGGAAAUCGCCCCCGAAUCUCCCAAAUCCAAGCCUAACUCCCCCUGCUCCGUGUGUCGGGAGCCGGGGCAGGAUGGUGUGGGCAGCUCCAACCUCCCCUGAGCGGCCCCGCACUCCUGCAGCCCUUCCCGCACAUAAACAAGUGUCAAAGACCUGUCUGCUCGCUGUGCCCUGCGAGAGCGCUGCCCUGCACCGAGCAUCCCCCUCCUCCUUCACUUCCCCUGCCAUCCCUCUGGCAGCGGGUUUUGUCUUUUUUUAAAAACCCAGGUGCCAAACCUGUGUGAAAUUACUGAUAUUCACUGAAAUCUGGCUGAGAAGCACUAAGUACGGGAGGUCACGGUCAGUUUUGUGGCACCAUCACCCCCCAGCCGCUGCCUCACCUGCAGGUGGCUGGGGCUGCUCACCGACACAGAAGGGCUGUUAAAGGCGUGUUGAGCUUCAUUUACUCAAGGGUAGAAUUAAUUUGUUUGAACUAUUUAUUUCAGAUAAAAUAAUCCCUUUAAAGGCUGCUGCUACUCUGUAAUUUUAGGCAUGUCCAUGUCCACCUGCCUUCACUUUGCUUUGGUCUGUGUGGAACUGCAGAAUGUGACAAAAUGGCAUUUGCAAAAAGAACAAGUAAACACAGGCUUAAUGAACUCACUUAUUUUGCUUCCUUUACUUAUGACUCAUAAAAUGAAAAUCCUUUAAUGUUGUAACCCAAAUAAAUUGCCAUGUUGGUUGCCUCUCGACUGUACUGCAAGUAGGGAACAAGAAGGGCUGAGAGUGAGGGAUCAGGAAAAGGUAAGGAUGUGCUCAGCUCUGAUUAAGUAACAUUAUCCUGCUUCUUUUGCUUUUGAAGGGUGGAAAAGCAAGAGGUGAUGUCUAAUCCUCCCGGGCAGCAAAAAAUGGGUGGGGAACGCUGAGCUGGGUGCAGCACUUGGCAGUCUUUGGGGUGCAGUGAUGAGGUGCCAGUGCUUGAUGGUAUGGAUAGAAGGGCACACGCCUCAGCCUUGUGACAUGUAGGGUUAAUGGGGCAGAGCCACACCAUGUCCCUCUGAGGGGACCUGGGUGGCACUGCCACAGCAGUGUCACAUCCCAGCUCUGGGCAGGAGAGGUUCCCUUCCUGGGCCAUCCAAUCCCUCAGCUGUUACAGCUCCUCAUAACCCACAUUUUGUGAACAACCACAACUCCCACAGUGAUGUCCAUUUCAGCCCAUUCCACACAGAAGCGGAAAAAUUUCUUCCUGAGAAGGAAUUAAUGCAAGAGAAGUGGAGAUCAGUAAAUGACUACAAUAAAAAUACCCUUCAGCUUUCCUUUUUAUUCUUCCAUAUUUUUCCAGCAGCUGCUUAAAAACUGGUAUUCAGCAAUAAAAUGACCUGAUAACAUUUAGGUCUUUGAGACAUAGAUAUUUUAUUUACUGAAAAAGUGUUACUAAACCACUUUACAAAAACAUUCACCAGGCUUUGCAGCACUUCCAGGAAAAUACAUACAAUUCCUCCUCUCUUUAUGCAAUCAUUGUUUGCUCCUGUUCAAGCUGACAGAUGGUAUGAAAGUUUUGCACUUGACAUCCAUAAUUGUCUUUCCCACAGGCGUGUGCUCAUCGAUGAUGUGCUCAUUGCAUCACCUCCUGACUUGGAACAUUUUUUUAAAAAGCUGUUUCACAUAUGAAAUCCUGGGAAAGGUGAGGGCAGGAACGGGUAUUUCCACUUUUGCUCCUGGUUGUGGGCUGUGCAAGUGAUGUGAUGUGUUUGAAACCCAGAUGUUAACAUGGUCACUGUAUAAAUACAUCAAUAAAUUCGUCCAGGCUCUUGUCCAUUCACACUGACUGGACUGUGGCCAUCUAAGAAACCACCUGAAAAAUAAAGACACAUUCUGUUAGUCAAAGGGACUCUCACAACGUCAGGUGGCACUUGCAGGGAAAUUGUCCAUCAGCUCUGCCAUGUUAGAUUAAAAGGAAGCACUAAAUUGCCUCAUGUUUUGAAGUAUUUUAUAUUUUAUUUCACGCUAUAAUUUUUUUUAACAGCCAAAUAAGAUUUAGUUUCUCAAGCAAGGGAAAAUGUGCCGGAGAGUGUAUUGAAAUCAAGUUUCUGGCUCAGCGAGGGGAGGUGACCUGAGCUCAGUGCAGGAAAGAAGCUGUUGCUGUAGGAUUGCACCCAAGGAGCUGUGGGCCAGCCUGGAGAGUGCUGCCUUUAUGUCACACACAGGGGACAGUGAUGAGUGAGAGGCCAAGGCUGGCUAUAAAAAGACCUUGCAGCAACUGGUUAAAGCACAUCUUGGCACUAUUAAUGGAUACAGAAGGGACAUGGGUCAAGAAGCUCUUUGCCAAAAUAACCUUCAUUGCACUGUAAUGUCAGAGACAAGGGAAGAGCUCCAUGAACUCAAGAACAUUUCAUUAAUAAUUAUUAGUACAAUAUUAAUAAACUAUUAUUUACAUUAUUUAUAUUAAAUAAUUUAAGUAUUUCUAUUAAAUAAUUUAUUUAUAUAUUUAUGUUAAAUAUUUCUAUUAUUAAUUUAAUUUAUUAUUUAUUUAUUAGUUCAAUGAGGCAUCUGUUUCUCCCUUUACUCAUCUGGGAAGAGAAACAGAUGACCCAAAAUGCCAGUGCUUUUUCACCAGCUUUUUUUCAAAGGCAUUUCAAAUUCCUGCAGUCAGAGGAAUUGCUGAGGACAUGUCCCCUGUGGUUCACUACUAAUAUAUAGACAGGUUGGGUUUGUGUGGUUUUUUUUUGGUGGUUUUUUUUUUUUUGGUUUUUGGUUUUGUUUUGUUGUUGUUGUUGUUGUUAUUGUUUGUUUUUUGGGUUUUUUGUGGGUUUUUUUGCAUGAAGCUAUGCUGGCAGUCUGGAAAUUUGUGAGGAGGGUAAUGGAAUAUUGCAACAGCCCAGGAAACUGCAUAUUGUACUAGUAGAAAAAAAAUAGGAAGAGCAGAAACAAAGUUUCCUCCUCCUUUAGGCACAAAAUACACAAACAAAAGAUUUUGAAAAUGUACAGAUUGGCAUAGCAGAGGAGUUAGCACAUAAUCAAGGACAUUUUUAAAACCUGCUGAAAUGCCAUGAAAAUUCAGGGCUAUAAACACGUGGGAUGCUCCAAGUCUGAAUUGGAAUAUUCAGCGCAUUCGUCACUGGGCUGGAAAAUGUUGCUGCUCUUCCAGUUUCAGGGGUUGAAGGACAACAGAAGCAUCUCAAACUCUGCUGAUUGCAGGGGUGUGUUUGGUUGGUUGGUUUUUUGGGGUUUGGUUGGGGUUUUUUUGGAUGUUAUUUUUAAUUACAGCAGAGUCAUUUUUUGGAGCCUGGUGUAAGGGCUGAGGCAGAAGCAGAGACACGAGACUACCAGAAAGAUGGCAAGGACAAUAUACAGGAUGAAUCAUUAAAUAAAAAUGUUCUUCCUUGUUGGAGAUGGACAUAAAGAAAUAUUAGCCAGCAAGUGAAGGAAUAUCAGCCAAGAGAACACAGGGAGCUGGUGGAGGGGGAAGAUGCUCAGGGGGUGGGCACCUCCCUUCAGGGCCCCACACUCAGCUGAGCUCUGCUCCUAUAAAAAAUCACUACAAAGUCAGACUGGCAAUGGUUAAAUGAACUAAUUUCCAGCCUUGGUUCACUCUGAUCCCACUGCUGAGUCACAGAACUCCUGCACGGUCCCUGCUUCUCCCACUUCCCUGGACACUCACCCAGGGCCCAUCUCCUCAUCAGAAACCAGGCACUGUGCUGUGGCAGAGCUGAGAAACUGCAGAGAAAAGACAUUUCCAUCAUGCCCUCCUAAUAUUUCAUUUGCCUUGGAAUGAAUUUCCUCUGCUCAUCUUGUUAAAGACAGAUUAUUUUUGCUUUGCUCAUUACACAGACCUGUCUAAAGCACUGUGUCCAAGGAUGAAAAAUAAAUGAAAGCUCCAGUGGUGCCGUUACCCAGCAGAGCUGAUGGAUUGCACUCUCCUGUGGCUGCUUUCAGCUGCUGUGUCUCGUGAACCAUGCUGCUAAUUUCACAUCUCAGUUACUGCAAAAAUGCUAAAUAAAGGUUUUGUUGUUUUUUUUUAUUUCCAUUUUAUCCCUAAAAAUGUGUGAUUAUUCACAUGGCAAAAAUGAUAAAUCUAAAGAUUUGAAAAAGUGAAGAAGUGAUGGCUUCAAGUCAGCAUCAUGCACACACAACUUUCAUUUAAGUCUUGCUUAGCUGAGGAAGUACUUCCAGCAGAAAUAUUAAUUUAAGAUUUUCCUAACUUUCAUGACCAGCCUCAUCCUGAAGUUGAUUUACUUUUGCUGAGUAAUACAGGAUUUGUCUUUAAUUCUUGAAAUAAUAGGAAACAGAAAGAAGGCUUACUUUAAAAAACUACACCUAAAAUGAAUUUUUUGUGUGGUUCAGAUAUUUCUAUUAAAUUGGUUGUGCUAUGUUCCCUUCCAGGAAUUUUACAUCAACAAAAUAUGGCACCAAAAUCACUAAGCAGGGUAAAAAUCUAGAAAGAUUCCUUUGGAAAAGGUGUAUUUAAUGCAGCUGUAACACAGGGUGGAGAUGAAUAAAACACUACACAACUAUUAAAAUAAAUAUAUGCUAAAAUACCAUACCUGUUUUUAUGAAACUCUGAAUGAAAAUCAAUCAUUAAGGCCAACUGGAAAAAAACAAAGUUAAAUAGAAUUCAUUGAUUGUUAAGUCAACAAAAAUCUGAAGAAAGAUACAGAUAAAACAUUUGAAGAUCUUUAUUUUGUUUUUCUGUCCUUUUAAUCUUGCAUUUCUUUAUUUCAACCAAAAAAAAAAAAAGGCAAAAAUUCUUGGGAAAGAACCUGUUUUUAAAAAGUUGCUAUCUAGAAGAGCUUGAGAAGUUGUUUAUUGCAUGACGACUCAUUCCCACAAUCUGUGAGUGCACUGCCACGUGCAAACCUCUUGUCUUCUCAAAAUCUGCUAAAGUUCUACAAAUCCUAAUUUCUAAACCAGGAAUAGAAGCAUCAGUGAAGAACAGCUCUGCAAAUUCUUCUACUUCCACUAGAGGAUGUUUCACUGAUCACCUUCAAAGGGCUGCCACAGCUCAGAGAGUGGCACAGAGGAUGAUGGUAAGUGGGAACUUACCUACCAAAAAAAAAAUUGAUGAAGAUGCGCAUCCUGAAAUUACAGCCCUCCAGAAAGAGGUCAUAGUUGACUAUUCCCACAAAAUAAUUCAAGAAUGUCCUAAAAUUUGUAGAAAACAGAAGCAAACAUAGUGUUUAGUUUAACUGACAGCUGAGCAUUAGCUUGGCCAGGCUUUCCAGAACACACUACAAUCUCCUGGAAAGGCUGGAAAUGCACCAAGUUCAGGGCACAAUGGAAUAUCCACAGGUGAUUGUCAAAGUGUAACUGCAAUUCAAACACUGGGAAGGUCACGUGUGGCAAAGGAUCCUUCAGGGCUGGAAACUGAGACACACAAACAGAGGACAAGGAGUAACUGGGCAGUACUUACUCGGUGCUGGGCUGAGGGGUCCGGGGCUCCCUGCCCGUGGCCACGAGGCACUGCCAGCUCCUGGGGGUUCCACGGAGCAGCCCAGGACUUGACCCUGGAAAGGACAAACGGGGCCCUGCCCAGGCAGGGCACAAGUGCCCUGGACAGGAGCUCCUGAGGCUGCCUGGGGUCAGCUGGACACACAGCCCCUGGGACAGAAGGUCUCAAAGCUGCCAGCACUCUCCGGGGCUCGAGGGUUUAGGAAUUGUCCACCAGGACCUCUGCCGUGCUUCCCUGUCUGCACAUCUGGGUGCUGGAGUCACUCUCUCCCUGUCUGCACAUCUGGCUGUUGGAUUCAUUGCUCUUUAGUGACUCUAGAACUCAAUUUAUUUCAGCACUACCCCACCAAGCUGAGUGAGGACGGGUCACAGACUCCACUCACCACCUCCUCCACCUGAUCCUCAGUUCCUGGCCCCUCUGAAGUGAGCAGCACAAAUCCCACUGCCUCAGCAGGGCCAGGAUACCAUUGGAAGGAAUUUCCUUCAUUUCAAAUAUGAAGAGUUGAAGCUCUUGGAUUGCAUUAAAUGAGAAACAAAGAGUUUUAAAUGAUUUAUUUGAUUUCUCCACAUGAUCACAGUUAUAGUUUUACAUCAAUAGGGUCUGUUACUACUUACAAACAGAAUGCAUAUUAAAAUGAAAGCACUCCUUUCUUCCCCAGAGUUACAAAAGGGGUCUCGAGCCUCCCCAGAACAGAAGCUUCUUGUAAGCAUAAUGAUUUUUGAAGUCUUUAAGAGUCUGCAUUCAAGACCUAAUUCUAACAGUUUAAUACAACUCAAAGCUGAUUUAAGUUCCUAGCAGGAGAUAGGCAACCUCAAAGUGACUGCAGACUUAUAGUAAUGCUAAUUUACACACUAUGUACAAUUUAGAUAAUUCUCUAUUCCCCCUACUGGUCCCAUUUUCACCACCCCCUUUUCUCUUUUCCAAAUUGAAUCUUGUUAUUGGUUCCACUUUUCUUUGAAAUAUAUACACGAGAAUCCAUUUUUCAGUCAAGAAGUGCGAUGGUAUUUUACAAGGGAACAGCAAAAUGCAUGCUUAACUGCAGAAAACACACAGCUUCAUAUGGAACAGCAAGUCAACAUCUAGAGAUUCAGUGUUUAAAUAUCUGCUGACUGUCUUUCAGCUCAUUUUAUCAAGAAACAAGAGGCUUCUGCUGCAUGCAGUACAUGAUGGGAAAAU